AAAAUAGUGAUUGUUUGAAAACAAAUAUAAUACUUUGUUUAUUAAAAUCAAUAGAAUAAGAAUAAAACAAGAAAACCCAAAAUCAACAAGUGGGUUAUAUGUUCAAUAAAAUAUAGCAGCAAAUAUACAAAAAUGUCGAAAAAUUAC
rnacentral:sRNA from 1 species